CCAACCCAAACAAAAAGAAAAAGGUAAGCCUUUUUCCUUACCUCUCCUUUAACUAAAUAUUUUAUAGAUAAUUAAAUCCAUUUAUACUCCUUGUCUAAAGAUAACAUCUUGGUGGACCCAUUAUGGAAAAUAAUCAUGUAGGAAAGCUUGAAACUAUAUGUAGAAAAGAACUAGUUUAUGUUCAACAUAAUAUAAUAGGAGCUAGAGACCCAAUUUGAUAAUUACUUGGAAUCUAAAUUUGCCUUUUCUUGGAAUGAAAUGUCUCUAUCCAUUGAUACCAACUGUGCCUAAACGAGAAUGAACACAUUUGGCUCAUGCAUUUUAUUUUUCUUUGAAUUUCCUCCAUAGAUAGCUUAUUGUAUAGUGCUCCUUCAUCAAAACUCCCUAACUUUCUUUUUCUUCUAGGUUCUUUUAUUAUUUAUAAAAUGUUAAAAUGUUGUUGUCUAAAGCAAAUGGACAUUAGGCCACGUAAACACAAGCAGGCAAUAGAAUUUGUCAUGUU
rnacentral:misc_RNA from 1 species